AUAAAAGAUAGAGAGGACGAAACGCAGACGAGUACAUUCUUUCAUACUGAAAGAAUGUACUCGUCUGUGUUUCGUCCUCUCUAUGUUUUAU
rnacentral:pre_miRNA from 1 species